rnacentral:rRNA from 1 species
AUACGGAGGGUGCAAGCGUUAUCCGGAAUCAUUGGGUUUAAAGGGUCCGUAGGCGGGCAAAUAAGUCAGAGGUGAAAUCCCACAGCUCAACUGUGGAACUGCCUUUGAUACUGUUUGUCUUGAGUUAUAGUGAAGUAGAUAGAAUAUGUAGUGUAGCGGUGAAAUGCAUAGAUAUUACAUAGAAUACCGAUUGCGAAGGCAGUCUACUAACUAUACACUGACGCUAAUGGACGAAAGCGUGCGGAGCGAACAGGAUUAGAAACCCUAGUAGUCC